rnacentral:rRNA from 1 species
AACGCGAAGAACCUUACCUACUCUUGACAUCCUGAGAACCUCAUGUAAUGUGAGGGUGCCGAAAGGAGCUCAGAGACAGGUGCUGCAUGGCUGUCGUCAGCUCGUGUCGUGAGAUGUUGGGUUAAGUCCCGUAACGAGCGCAACCCCUAUACUUAAUUGCCAUCGGGUAAAGCUGAGCACUUUAAGUAGACUGCUGGUGACAAACCAGAGGAAGGCGGGGACGACGUCAAGUCAUCAUGGCCCUUACGAGUAGGGCUACACACGUGCUACAAUGGGCGGUACAAAGGGUUGCGAAGCCGCGAGGUGGAGCUAAUCUCAUAAAGCCGCUCGUAGUCCGGAUUGCAGUCUGCAACUCGACUGCAUGAAGCUGGAAUCGCUAGUAAUCGCGAAUCAGAAUGUCGCGGUGAAUACGUUCCCGGGCCUUGUACACACCGCAUAC